AAAGUACUCCCUCCGUCCCAAAAUUCUUGUCUUAGAUUUGUCUAGAUACGGAUGUAUCAAGUCACAUUUUAGUAUUAGAUACAUCUGUAUGUAGUCACUUGUUGAACUCUCUAAAAGACUAAUAUUUAGGAAUAGAAGGAGUAUUUU
rnacentral:pre_miRNA from 1 species